UACGGAGGGUGCAAGCGUUAUCCGGAUUUACUGGGUUUAAAGGGUGUGUAGGCGGGCUUUUAAGUCAGUGGUGAAAUCUCCGGGCUCAACCCGGAAACUGCCAUUGAUACUAUUAGUCUUGAAUAUUGUUGAGGUAGGCGGAAUAAGUCAUGUAGCGGUGAAAUGCAUAGAUAUGACUUAGAACACCGAUUGCGAAGGCAGCUUACUAAACAAUUAUUGACGCUGAGGCACGAAAGCGUGGGGAGCAAACAGG
rnacentral:rRNA from 1 species